CAAAGUUUAAGUAUUUUUAGUAAUUAGGUGUUUUUUGCUUUCUUGAAGGUUUAGAACAUCAGAUGACUCUUAGCAGAUAUGAAAUGCUUCUGGAAGCCAAACAGUGGUUCUGUUCAUACCCUUUGGACCACCCUGCUUGUCCAUCGUGUCUGUACCACACUGCACUGCAGUGGUCUUGUCAUCCAGGAGAGCCUGACCCUGGACAACGGGAUCAACAAGCUCUGAAGAGCCUCCAUCCUCAAUUACCUUCCAGCCCUGACAUCCCCAGUCCAGCUGCCUCAGACUAGAGUAAGAUUGCUCUUGGUUUCCCUUCA
rnacentral:lncRNA from 1 species